rnacentral:lncRNA from 1 species
UCUAUACUGAGCAAAGGUGAUGUGAUUAACUAAGUUUAUGUAAAUCACGGAAGAUAAUUAUUUCAAAAUUAAUGCUCUACCUCUGAAUCUGAAUCUAGAGAUGAGCAAACAGCCUGUUUGUCAGAACUGAGGCAGCUGUGUUUGCCUUUCCCUUAUUAUACGCCUAGUCAACUGUCUGGAAAUAAACCAGAGAUAUCCAGAGGGCUUCACAGACCAGCAACUGCAAUUUACAGUAUUCAUAGAUCUGCAGUCUUAUUGUGACCACAGAGACCAAAUUAAACAAGGAUGUAAGCAAGCAAAAUGCCAUGGACGUGAGUUUGCAUGUUUUUUUUUCCUACACAAGUGCCAGCCAUGUAGCAGAAAAAAGAAUCUGUCAUUGGAUUAUGCAGCCUGCCGCUUUUGUAGGGUUGUGUUGCUAAUAGUCAGAUACUGCUAAUAUGAUAACUUAUACUUCCUUUGUUUCCAGUUCCUGCAAUUGGUAAAACAGAUAUGCGGAGUUCUUUGUGUUAGAUUGUUUUCCAGAUUCCACGCGUUUUAGGCAAAGCCCCAUGAAUAUUAGAGAACUUGCAUUUCCGUUCAAGUGGUUGCAGCCUCUUGCCUACGCCUCACUNGGACAUCGCUUCCUGCUGAUUGUGGGGCAGCAGCUUGCACAGACGUCAUACAGUGAUUCAAAGCACCCUCAUGUUGAGUUGCAGAUGGGUACAAUUUGGACAUGCCUAUAUCAGUGCUCAUGAUGCCAAGCAAGUAUGACUACAACAACAAAGAGGUUGCAAGGGAAAUGAUGAUAUUAAUUGCUCUUGACUGUGCUUUCUUGGCUCUUUGUGUUAUUUAUUUAUUUCAAAAAGUAAAAAUUAUCAGGUCUACUUAUCAUUCAAACCUGAAACAACCUAUACAACCCAUAAGCACAACACUUGGAUCUUACUUCCUGGUUAGAGUACUUUAAAAAAAAAUGUUUAUAGAGUCCAGUGAGAUAGUAUUGAUGAUGAGGUCUGCAUUUUCAAGAGNGUUAAACAUUUUAAAACCCAUAACUGCAUUACCGAUCAGUUCAGA